rnacentral:lncRNA from 1 species
UAGGAAGGGUGGUGGCUGUAUUGCAGGAAAAAUUUUAGAAUGCAACGGGUAUAUUAAUGACGUGGCGUAACAAAUCAAUCAAAAUUUUUUUUUUAAAAAUAUAUGUCCCAUCGUGAUUAUAAAAAAAUAUUUUUAUUAUACUUUUGUUUGAAAAAAAGAAAGAUGAUUGAUUUGUUAUUAAUGACGUGGUGUAAGUGUGAUAGUGUAGAAUUCCUCGCAUUGCAGGGGUGAG